rnacentral:rRNA from 1 species
UACGUAGGGUGCGAGCGUUAAUCGGAAUUACUGGGCGUAAAGGGCGCGCAGGCGGUCAACCAAGUCAGAUGUGAAAGCCCCGGGCUCAACCUGGGAACUGCAUUUGAGACUGGAUGACUUGAGUUCGGGAGAGGAGAGCGGAAUUCCCAGUGUAGAGGUGAAAUUCGUAGAUAUUGGGAAGAACACCGGUGGCGAAGGCGGCUCUCUGGACCGAUACUGACGGCUGAGGCGCG